rnacentral:rRNA from 1 species
GAUACAAGCGAGCGGCGGACGGGUGAGUAACACGUGGGUAACCUGCCCAAGAGACUGGGAUAACACCUGGAAACAGAUGCUAAUACCGGAUAACAACACUAGACGCAUGUCUAGAGUUUAAAAGAUGGUUCUGCUAUCACUCUUGGAUGGACCUGCGGUGCAUUAGCUAGUUGGUAAGGUAACGGCUUACCAAGGCAAUGAUGCAUAGCCGAGUUGAGAGACUGAUCGGCCACAUUGGGACUGAGACACGGCCCAAACUCCUACGGGAGGCAGCAGUAGGGAAUCUUCCACAAUGGACGCAAGUCUGAUGGAGCAACGCCGCGUGAGUGAAGAAGGGUUUCGGCUCGUAAAGCUCUGUUGGUAGUGAAGAAAGAUAGAGGUAGUAACUGGCCUUUAUUUGACGGUAAUUACUUAGAAAGUCACGGCUAACUACGUGCCAGCAGCCGGGGUNAAUACA